rnacentral:rRNA from 1 species
GCUCAGAAUGAACGCUGGCGGCGUGCUUAACACAUGCAAGUCGAACGAGAAAUCUUUAGCUUGCUAGAGAAAGUAAAGUGGCGCACGGGUGAGUAACGCGUGGGUAAUCUGCCUCCGAAUCGGGGAUAACAUUGCGAAAGCGAUGCUAAUACCGGAUAAAAUCUGGUUGGCUUCGGUGAACCGGAUCAAAGGUGGUCUCUUUUAAAAAGCUACCGUUUGGAGAUGAGCUCGCGUACCAUUAGCUUGUUGGUGGGGUAAAGGCUCACCAAGGCGACGAUGGUUAGCUGGUCUGAGAGGAUGAUCAGCCACACCGGAACUGGAACACGGUCCGGACUCCUACGGGAGGCAGCAGUGAGGAAUUUUGCGCAAUGGGGGAAACCCUGACGCAGCAACGCCGCGUGAGUGAUGAAGGCUUUCGGGUCGUAAAGCUCUGUCAGGUGGGAAGAACCCACCAGGUGUAAACAUCACCUGGUGCUGACGGUACCACCGAAGGAAGCACCGGCUAACUCCGUGCCAGCAGCCGCGGUAAUACGGGGGGUGCGAGCGUUAUUCGGAAUCAUUGGGCGUAAAGGGCGCGCAGGCGGUUUUGUAAGUCAGAUGUGAAAUCCCGGGGCUUAACCCCGGAAGUGCAUAUGAAACUAUGAGACUUGAGUAUGGGAGAGGGAAGCGGAAUUCCUGGUGUAGCGGUGAAAUGCGUAGAUAUCAGGAGGAACACCGGUGGCGAAGGCGGCUUCCUGGACCAAUACUGACGCUGAGGCGCGAAGGCGUGGGGAGCGAACAGGAUUAGAUACCCUGGUAGUCCACGCAGUAAACGUUGAUCACUAGGUGUAGCGGGUAUUGACCCCUGCUGUGCCGGAGUUAACGCAUUAAGUGAUCCGCCUGGGGAGUACGAUCGCAAGAUUAAAACUCAAAGGAAUUGACGGGGGCCCGCACAAGCGGUGGAGCAUGUGGUUUAAUUCGACGCAACGCGAAGAACCUUACCUGGACUUGACAUCUCGGGAAUUCCGUUGAAAGACGGGAGUGCCUUUAACGAGGAAUCCGAUGACAGGUGCUGCAUGGCUGUCGUCAGCUCGUGUCGUG